rfam:Schistosoma rodhaini strain Burundi genome assembly, scaffold: SROB_scaffold0000426
AUCCAGCUGACGAGGCCCAAAUGGGACGAAAAGCACAUCCUGUAU